AUGUUGUGCUUCUCACAACACUUUGAAGGAGCUUGUUAGAUGCGUAUAACUUACCAUGCUUAUCCCAUGUUAAACCCAUCAAGUGCUAAAUCCACUUUUUCAAGCUUGGGCCAGAGCCAGAGAAGUGAGUCAGUGAUGUGGAGCAGGUGUGGCUUCCUGAUUUCAUUAAUUUAGAUAAUUGCAGGUCCUCUUCAACAGCAUCAAUCUCUUCUGUGUCUUAUGCGACCAAUUCUACCAUGAAUGUUCUCACUCUCUGAUAAAACAAUACUCAAUGGAGGAGAGAAAACUGCAGGAGCCCUGCAACCUUAUGGCAGUGACUGGACAUGCCCUCCCUAUCUUCAUAUGAAAGACAACAACAGCAACAACAAUGAAAUCUCUUUGAAGGAGGAGGAAAGAAUUCAGGCACUUUGGUCAUCUGAUGAAAAUGCAUUUUCCCUUUCAGAUUGAGGCACCUCGAGAAGCAUAGAGCACACACUUGAGCUGUUUGCUGAACUCCCUGGCUGCUGGAGGUGCCUCUAUCCCCAGGGACUAAAGGCAGCUUUGAUUAGCCAGCUCAGUUAAGUUCUUCAAUCUUCUUUUUACACAGCACCUACUGCGGGAGAACAUGAGGCUCAGAUCUACAGAGAGAAUUUGAUAUCUUUCUUGUUUAAAGAGACAGGCCCAUGGAUAUCAGUAGGAGUGGGGCACAUAGAUAUCUCUGGAUCUUCAAAUUUGCUGGGUAGUGCUAACAUCAAAGGAAAUGACAAUCUUCUGUCUCCUCAGAUUUUUUGUUAAUCUAUGAAUUGUCUUUAUGAUGUGAAUGUAAAUUCAUUGUGAAGAGAUAUGUUCCUCAUUAUUACUUUUUCUCACUGGAAUGUUAAAAGGCUAUUCUAUCUGACUUCCACAAAUACCCUUUAGGUGUUGAUGUAGUUUGCUAACCCUCUUCCUUUUUAGCAUUAUAUUUCCUUUAGAUCUCUUCACGACUUUCCUCUGGCUAAUAACAGUUUGGGAAUGCACAAGCCAGCAGGACUCUUCCUGCUUCUCAGAGUCUUGUGACUGGCUGUCUGCUGCUGAUGCACCUGUGAUUACCCAUUCCUGUUGCACUAGCAGAGAAAAGCUGUCUGGGAUUAUUAGCUCAGGCAUUGCUUCUCCUCUUGUAUUAAUUUAAAUGUAGGUGUUGCAUUGAAGGCCCUGAAGCUGUGCUGUCAGUCCUUGUUUUGUGAAAUAAUUCCUUAAAAUACUUGUUGCUUUU